UCUGUUAUUGCUCGCUGCACAGAAAGGGGAUAUUUUAAGAGCAGAGAGUGAGGCGAAUACUACAGGGAUUAUAUCAAAAGCGAGUCUUCGACAUCUGGGGGCGAAGCGUCAUGCUCUUGCUGAGCUGAGUUCGGCACAAUAUGAGACGUGCGCGCCUCUGAUCUGAUGAACACGCGUGCGGGGACUGUUAAUGUGGCUCGGGGUGUCUUUAUAAAUAAGUAACCAUUAGGCAAUGUGUGUGAGCCAGAGGAAAAAGCCCCAGGUGAAUAGAGGAUUUGUCACAGAGGUGUGUGGGUGUGUCUGCGUGAAGCAGUCCUCAGGAUCUUUUCUUUAAGAGUGCCGUCAGCAGUCAACAACGUCGAAAGUCGCCUACUUUAAGCGAAAAUAUGCGGAAGAGGAGGAUGUUCAGGGAAGCCUACAUGGAUAUUUACAAAAACACCUGAUCCUGCGUGAGGAGCGCAGCUGCAUCUUGCGUCUGUCUCUGCAGAAGCUGCGUUUCCUAGACGACCCAGAGGCUUACCUCCGCCGCUCCGUCCUCAUCAACAACCUGCUACGCAAGAUCCACCUGGACGAGGUCCAGAGAGAGAGGGAGAAACAGAAAGAUGAUGACAAUGAGGAGACAGAGACAAGGCGGAUUCUGUCACCCAGCAGGAAGAGAUUAAAGGUGGUGCUGACCCAAUGUCGUUCCUCGAGCUUCGGGCUCCAGGACUUCCAGCAGUACAAGCUGCUGCCGUAUUCGUCCUACCCGAGCACAUGCAUCUGUGGCCUGGGGGGCUGUCACACCCUGACUCCUGAUCAUGGAGCUUCUGUGCUACUUUACCAUUUGGAUGACAAAGGAUGAAAUAUCAGUCUGUGCAUGCAGUCAGUCUUUGAUUUACACAGGAGCGAUGGUGGCAGCAAAAAAAGGGGGGAUUUGGGUUUGUGUACAUUUGUGUGCUUGUGCCCUGCCGUUUGUGACAGUGGUAAAGCCGGGUAUCUGUCAAUAUCAGGGUGUAUUUUCCUAAUGCAGGAAAAAUGUAAUCUUGGUCAACUGCCUCGGUUUGUUUUUUUUGCCUCAUGAUUUUGCUUGAGUUAGUUACAAAGGACUGUUUUCAGGGAUAAAAAGGCAAACAAAAGCCAUGCACCUUGUGGUUAUGUUGUAAGAAGAAAAGAAAACAAUUAAAAUGGUCAGUGUCUCGGUUGCUCCGUAGGAUGGAGUGAUGCUGAUGUUUAAAGCUUUAUUGCUGUGAAAUGGACUUUUUUCUAUGUAAGUGGCUACUAGUGAUUUGCUCUAACUUGGUCUGCCCUUAAACUGAAGAGCUCAGUUGGGUUUAGCAUUAACUGAUGUUUUCAUACUACUAAAAAAAGAAAGGAAAAUGUUUUGGGGAAAAAAUAGGAAAACUAAACUGACAUUCUGGUUGGUUGGCUUAAACAGGGUGUCUACACCACACAAUACAUUACAGAAAUAAACAUGUAUUUUGAAAAAGAUAUAUAAAAAGAUAAAAAGAUACUAUGAAGUUUACAUACUUUUUUGACUCUCUUUUUUAAAUGUAUGAUUAACUUUGCAUACUGCCUGUCAAAUAAAAGGUUAUGGGACAGAUACUGUUAUAUACAACUGGUUCAAUACUGCCCUCUAGUGUUAUGGCGAUGAAUUUUCAGCAACAAAAACAUUAUUUUGUUUCAUUCACUUAUAAUUUGUCUGUGCAACCUACAAAUUUUAUUAGGCUGUUUAACCCUCUGCGGACCUCUGUAAUGCAUUUAGGAAAUCUAUUCCGUUUGGUAAACCAGUCAACUCUGCUAGUUUUCUGGCUCUUUAAUCGUUGAAUCUGGUUAAAUCCCUUGACUGUGUGGGAGUCAGAAUAUUUCAUAACAAUGGCCUACAUUCAGUGCAUGGGCCCACGGUUAAUUCAGCUUUCAUUCAGUUGUGACUGAAGGAAUGACAAGGUAAAAUGCCCAAUGUACUGUAAAAUCUCCUUUUCCCUCCCACACAGAACCGAUUAUCCUGUUGUCACAUGUUUGUUACACAAGGUUUUUAACAGGCAAAAUAGUAACAUAUUUUGGUACGGUAUAUAAUGAGUGGUACUCUGCCUAUUAAUAUUUUGUGUGUGUGUGUGUGUUUAUGCACAUUUGUAUUCUAAAAUGAUGUUUGUUUUAUUUUGUUGUCAAUAUCUGAAUGUCAUUUUCUAAAAGCUAAAUUGAGAGUGCUGUCUUUUGGACAUAUAACGUAGAUAUGGAUACUCAGUUUAUGUUGAAAUUGAGCUAUUUUUGGAAACAAUAUUCCUCGGAGAAUUUAGUGCUAAUUUGCCAAAAUAUAUUAAAGUAGCAUACUAAAAAGAGAGAUACGUCUAUUUUCAGGCACUGCUAUUAAACAAAAUAAAA